rnacentral:rRNA from 1 species
AGCAGCCGCGGUAAUUCCAGCUCCAAUAGCGUAUAUUAAAGUUGUUGCAGUUAAAAAGCUCGUGGUUGAAUUUCGGGAUUAGUACGUUGGUCGUGCCUUCGGUACGUACUGGUGUUACUGAUUCCUACCUUCUGACGAACCAUCAUGUCAUUAAUUUGGUGUGGCGGGGAAUCAGGACUGUUACUUUGAAAAAAUUAGAGUGUUUAAAGCAGGCUCGCGCUUGAAUACAUUAGCAUGGAAUAAUGAAAUAGGACAUUGACCCUAUUUUGUUGGUUUCUAGGAUUGACGUAAUGAUUAAUAGGGAUAGUUGGGGGCAUUAGUAUUCAAUUGUCAGAGGUGAAAUUCUUGGAUUUAUUGAAGACUAACUACUGCGAAAGCAUUUGCCAAGGAUGGUUUCAUUAAUCAAGAACGAGAGUUAGGGGAUCGAAGACGAUCAGAUACCGUCGUAGUCUUAACCAUAAACUAUGCCGACUAGGGAUCGGAUGAUGUUAUUUUUAAUGACUCA